CCAAUAGCGUAUAUUAAAGUUGUUGCAGUUAAAAAGCUCGUAGUUGAAUUUCGGGAUCAGUACGCUGGUCAUGCCUUUGGUAUGCACUGGUGUCACUGGUUUCUCCCUUCUGACGAUCCGUGAUGUCAUUAAUUUGGUGUCGCGGGGAAUCAGGACUGUUACUUUGAAAAAAUUAGAGUGUUUAAAGCAGGCUCACGCUUGAAUACAUUAGCAUGGAAUAAUGAAAUAGGACGUUUGACCCUAUUUUGUUGGUUUCUAGGAUCGACGUAAUGAUUAAUAGGGAUAGUUGGGGGCAUUAGUAUUCAAUUGUCAGAGGUGAAAUUCUUGGAUUUAUUGAAGACUAACUACUGCGAAAGCAUUUGCCAAGGAUGUUUUCAUUAAUCAAGAACGAAAGUUAGGGGAUCGAAGACGAUCAGAUACCGUCGUAGCCUUAACCAUAAACUAUGCCGACUAGGGAUCGGAUGAUGUUAAUUUUAUAAUGACUCAUUCGGCGCUUUACG
rnacentral:rRNA from 1 species